rnacentral:misc_RNA from 1 species
GGAAAGUCAGGUUCGAGUUAUCUUUGGUUGAAACUGCCUUUUGCAUGUAUUUUAAGUCUGCUGCUUUUGAUUAAAUAUUUAUAGACAUUUCAUGCACUUAUUGUAAUAGAGAUACCACCGAAAUGGUUGCAUAUUUGUGGUGUUUAUUAGAAUGCCCAUGUUGAAAUAACUGAGUCCAAAGCCCCUUUCUCCCCACGUAGUUGUAGCUUUUAAGUCUUUGGAUAGGAUUGAUGUUUGAUAUUGACUAGAGAAACACCUUGUUGUACUAGGGUUCGCUUUUACUUUUAUCUGGUCGUGAUUAUUGGGAAGUUAGUUACAUGGAUGGCCAUCAUAAAACUGAAGUGUCAUUGUUUCACUCGUGUGCUAGUCAUAAAAUUAACUUUGUGGGACAUUACCUAUUACUGCCUUCUUGUUAGCAAAGCUAACCAUUUAAACUGGAUAUUAUGCUUGCAAUUUUAUAUAUUUUUUUAGCGAUUAAGAAUAUAGUAAUGGCAAUGCUAUUGAAGUAUGUAGAAUACAUAAGACAGAGAGAUCCUAUGAAGCAUUGUUCAUUGUACCCUUCUCAUUCCUUGAUUUUUAAUGUACUGGGCAGCCACACUAU